AGGACGAACGCUGGCGGCGUGCUUAACACAUGCAAGUCGAACGGAAAGGCCCUUCGGGGUACUCGAGUGGCGAACGGGUGAGUAACACGUGAGCAACCUGCCCCUAACUCUGGGAUAGCUCCGGGAAACCGGAAUUAAUACCGGAUAUGACCUCGGGCGACAUCUCCUGAGGUGGAAAGUUUUUCGGUUAGGGAUGGGCUCGCGGCCUAUCAGCUUGUUGGUGGGUAAAGCCUACCAAGGCGACGACGGGUAG
rnacentral:rRNA from 1 species